GGUGAUUUAGCUAAGUGGCAGAAGCGCCUGCCUUGCAAGCAGGAAGUUGUGAGUUUGAUCCCCG
rfam:Cavia porcellus supercont2_37 genomic scaffold, whole genome shotgun sequence.